rnacentral:rRNA from 1 species
UAACCUGCCCAAGAGAUCGGGAUAACACCUGGAAACAGAUGCUAAUACCGGAUAACAACAGAUGAUGCCUAUCAACUGUUUUAAAAGAUGGUUCUGCUAUCACUCUUGGAUGGACCUGCGGUGCAUUAGCUAGUUGGUAGGGUAACGGCCUACCAAGGCGAUGAUGCAUAGCCGAGUUUAGAGACUGAUCGGCCACAUUGGGACUGAGACACGGCCCAAACUCCUACGGGAGGCAGCAGUG